rnacentral:sRNA from 1 species
CCCACCCAGAACUUCGCUCUGCCCCUGCCCAUUCUAGGACAGCCGAGAGCCCAGCGACGUGGAUGGGGCAGCUAGGGGCAGCAGCGUGGAUGCGGACCCUCAGUCCUCAGGCAGGGAGAAAGAACCUCUGAAGUAAGCCCUCACCUCUGCAGGUGGGGCUCAGGCCCAGAGACUGGGAUCAGCUGGCUCAGGCAGCUCAGGUCCUGGUUCGUCCCCUAGCCCAGGAGGACGCUGUGGGAGCUGGAGCAGCGGCAAGAGGGAGAACGGGGGGAAGCAGCACUAGAGAAGUUCCCACAGCUCAUCCUGUCACUGGCUGCUCUGCUGAAAUUAUCAAUAAGAAAUGCCAGUUGGAUCUGUGACAUGUCUGCCUGCAGCUGGAUGGGAGCAACGGACAGCUUGUCCUCCGAAUGUGUUUUCUGUAUGUGUGCAAGUGCGGGUGUUCCAAAUGGGCAGUAGCGUGUGGGAAGGAAAAAGCCUGACACUUGUUUUUAUCAAUUUGCUGAUGCUCAGUCCCAGCGGCUGCCUCCUUUGCCCCCAGCUGCUCUGCCAUCUCUCUCUUUUCAAUCCUGCAUGAUCCUGAGCAGAGAUAAAAGCAGAUUUCCGCUUCUGCUCCCAGAUCCAGGAGCAGACCCUGCAGGCAGCUGCUCCCGAUGUCUCACAGCUAUUAGUCUUCAAAAGCCCCCCGUGCCUCUGUGCACACGCGUCUCUCCUCCCCAGCCAGCCCCCCUCCCAGCCCAGCGGCGAUGUCUCUGCCUGGCUGGCCCGUGCCCUUGACUUCCAGGCAGUAGGAGAUGGAGUUCUCUAGACAGCAGCAGUUCAGCCGCCACUCCGCCUCUGAAGGGAAGGAAGGGAAAGGGUGAGGGAUGCCGCAGAGGAGAGGGAACCGCUGGGGAAGCGCUCAGGGUUGGGGAGGAGGUGCAUCCCACUGGGGAGGGCCUGCUGGUACCUCGGGGAGCCUGGCUGGGGUGUGUGCGAAGGCAGUUCUGUGGGAGCCUCUCAAAGUAGGGCAGGCAGGAGGCAGGGGGAAAGUCACACUAGGGAAGGAGCCUGCAGAGGCAAAGCCAGAGCGCCAGCCUGACCCAGGUCGUGAGCCCGUGAUCGCCUGUCUCAGCUCCUGUCAGCCUGUCUCUCUCUUUGGAGGCAUCGGCCUUCCUGGUGACAGGCCUGUCAGGCUGAGGGCCAGAGGGCACUGUUCCCGGGACCCAGUCCGUGCUCCCCGAUCCUAUCUGCAUUUAUUCUCUAAUCUAUUUGCCAUGUUCCUGUCACCUCAUCCUUGCUGCCAUUUCCAAGUUGCUCAUCUUCCACUGGUCUGAGGAAUUGUCAGGCCAAGGUCAUGGAGCUGGCUCACGGCCCAGACGCACUUCCCCAGGGCAGCGCCCCUCCACGCCACUGUUCCGAGAACCUGCGCAGGAGGUGGUGGCUGCUCCAGGGAUCCAUCCAGAGGAAGGGCGGGAAAAAGAGAGGAAGGGGCUGCUGGCGGCCAGCGGGGCUGUGGCUGCCUGGGCUUGGAGGUUGCCUGGGCAGCUGGGGUGCCAUGUGGGCUGGGUGGGGGGGCUGUCUCCCCCAGGGAGCAGGCUGGCUUUGGUGGGAGCAGAUUGUGUUUACACCUUCCCCGCACACCCAGCCCACGCUCGCCUCUUAUUCCUGGGGCCUCUCCCACCCCUGGGCUCUCUGCGCAAUCUGCACAUUUGCAGCUCCUGCUGCAGAAAGUUACCUCUCUCAGCCUAGAGCUCCCCACAGAAGGCUCCUGGGACCCGGGUGCCCCUUCCUUGGCCCACUGGCUCCCAUCACAGGGCUUAGUGUGAAGCUCAGGGCAAGGGUGGACCUUUACAUGGGGGAAUUAAAUCCUGACUAUGACACUGUC